GACGAACGCUGGCGGCGUGCUUAACACAUGCAAGUCGAACGGAAAGGCCUUUUCGGAGGUACUCGAGUGGCGAACGGGUGAGUAACACGUGGGUGAUCUGCCCUGCACUCUGGGAUAAGCCUGGGAAACUGGGUCUAAUACCGGAUAGGACCGCACUUUAGGGUGUGUGGUGGAAAGUUUUUUCGGUGUAGGAUGAGCCCGCGGCCUAUCAGCUUGUUGGUGGGGUAAUGGCCUACCAAGGCGGCGACGGGUAGCCGGACUGAGAGGUUGGUCGGCCACAUUGGGACUGAGAUACGGCCCAGACUCCUACGGGAGGCAGCAGUGGGGAAUAUUGCACAAUGGGCGCAAGCCUGAUGCAGCGACGCCGCGUGGGGGAUGACGGCCUUCGGGUUGUAAACUCCUUUCGCCAGGGACGAAGCGUUUUGUGACGGUACCUGGAGAAGAAGCACCGGCUAACUACGUG
rnacentral:rRNA from 1 species